CUCAAUUGCCUCCUCUCCAGGCCUCAGCUGAAUUUGCAUCUUGUGCGAUCUAUACCAAUGAUAAUUACUUAGAUCAUACAAUUUCACUAUUUUAAUAUUUAUUAUUAAACUAGGGAUAAGACACAAGUACCCCCUAGACUAUGACUGAAAUCUCAGAUACACACUUAAACUUACUAGGGUCCUAUUACCCUGUUGAACUAAUUUAAAAUGGAAUAAAAACAC
rnacentral:lncRNA from 1 species